rnacentral:rRNA from 1 species
AUUGAACGCUGGCGGCAUGCCUUACACAUGCAAGUCGAACGGCAGCACGGGUGCUUGCACCUGGUGGCGAGUGGCGAACGGGUGAGUGAUACAUCGGAACGUACCUUAUCGUGGGGGAUAACGUAGCGAAAGCUGUGCUAAUACCGCAUACGCCCUGAGGGGGAAAGCGGGGGAUCGCAAGACCUCGCGCGAUUAGAGCGGCCGAUGCCUGAUUAGCUUGUUGGCGGGGUAAAAGCCAACCAAGGCGACGGUCAGUAGCUGGUCUGAGAGGACGAUCAGCCACACUGGGACUGGGACACGGCCCAGACUCCGACGGGAGGCAGCAGUGGGGAAUUUUGGACAAUGGGGGCAACCCUGAUCCAGCAAUGCCGCGUGAGUGAAGAAGGCCUUCGGGUUGUAAAGCUCUUUUGUCAGGGAAGAAACACCGGCUCUAACACAGUCCGGGAAUGACGGUACCUGAAGAAUAAGCACCGGCUAACUACGUGCCAGCCGCCGCCGUAA